GUGAGAUUUGUUAUCAGCUGAGUGACCUGGUGACUGGCAUGAAGUAUUGUAGGAUGCCCUAGUGUGAUAGUAGUAGCAGUUUCAACAGCCAUUGCACAUGCUAUCAAUGCUCUGAGACACGCCGGCAUACCCUGUACCGGAGCUCGAACUACUUUGGAAAAGAAUGCUAUGGGACGCAUACCGCCUCCUUGCUCUUGUGCACAGACCGCGGCCAUGGUUUUACAAUUGUCCCAAGCAUACAAAUGAAAUGGUUUACAAUACACAGGUAGUCCUAAAGCCUGGGCUUGCACAAUAACAACUUUAAGGGCAAUAUAUGCAGCUAGCAUGUCUGGUGACCAGCAGACAUUUUCAGGGCUGUCAGAACGUACAGCCUCCCUUAGGAUUGAGUCAUAAUGGGAGCAUUCAGGGAUCCAUUGGUGGCAGUAAUUAAUCAUGCCGAGGAAGGUGAGCAACUCCUUCCGAGUAGUGGGUGUAGGAAUCCUCUGAAUGACCUCAAUACGUUUUGGACUCAAUUGUCUGGUGCCUGAAGCCAGAACAAAACCUAAGUAUUCAACCUUUGAUUUACACAAUUGCAUUUUGUGUUUAACAACCUUGUGACCCACAGUUGCUGACAGUAUCCACAGUGCUUGCCUCAUAGCUAGGGCUACAUAACAACAAAUCAUCAACAUUUUGCAAAAAGGACGGAACCAUGACCGGUGGUCCAUGUUUUUUAGAGUAUGUUGGAGUACCAAUGAAUAAACAGCUAGGGAAUCCACAUAGCCUUGGGUAAGCGUGUCCAGGUAAACUGACAGCCUUCAAAAAG
rnacentral:lncRNA from 1 species